AGAAGGCACACAAGACUCCUUUGUCAGAGACAAAGAAUUUUAUUAUGCACAGCAGAGUAGGCAAUGUGAUCUUCAUGUUCGUGUCAGUCCCACGGGGACAGUGUGGAGGAGCCUACAUGCAGGAUGAAAUUGGAAAAGUCAAGAGAGAUGUUAUGGUUGAAUAUUGUCAGAAGUUUAACCACCGCAUGUCUCACUAUGCUCUUCGGGGUCAGAUCAUGGCAUACUGCAAUAGCCUGAGAGAUCUUCUGGAAGAUUUUCCUACCAUCAGGGACACCUUUUUCAUGGUAGGGCAACCACAAGAGAAGAAGGGGUUGAGAGACUCCAAGGAGGGCCUCAAGGCUGACCCCAGAAGAUUUCAGCCCCGGCCACGAUGUUUGCUGUCAGCGGAUGGAAAAGUCUUCCUCAAUUGAUGGUUCAUACCCCAUUCUUCUGAAGUGCUGGUUAUGUUCAAAACUCUGCCAGAAAAGGCAGCUUUUAAAGCCUUAAAGCGAACUCUACAACUGAUAGCUCCUCUGCAUGAUAUCGUGGCCUACCUUGUCAGUUUUGCUAAGCUUGGCAAUUGUCCAGCAUGUUUUGAAUUUCCUCGAAGUCCCAACCCUUUGAGAGGUGACUGGGGAGGAACUGAGGGCAUUGCCCAUGCCCAAAUAUAUUCCAUAUUUACAUUUUACCCAGCUUUAACCAUAAGGGUCUGAGCUUCAAGAGCUGCAGAACAUGAUUGACAGCCUCCAGAGCCCCCAAGACCCUAUCCGGGUGGCCCAGGCACUCCUCCUCCGGAGGGAGGUUAUAUUUUUGCAGUUUGACGCUGCAGUAAGGCAUCUCAUCCGAAGAACAUUUUUGGCAGCUGGAAAUGUUCCUGCCUACCAGUCUGUCACAGACGGCAUGUGCCAUGGGCUACCAGCACUGAGCAACUCUCUCAGGAAGAGCAUUUUUGCCUCACAGCUCAGCCUGCCCCAGCCACUGGAUCCACGGAGCCUCCAG
ensembl:lncRNA novel transcript